AUGAAAUACUCUGGUAUCAAUCACCUGAUCUGAUCAGUUUUUUCAUUUACCCNGUGAGGCAGGAGGACAAGCCCCAAAGAGGGCUCUUGUUUCUGGCACCAAGCGCCUGGUGCUCUGGGUGCAACCCGCUCCAGGGACAGCAGCAGGUGGGGUGUUUGACUGGGGCAGUAUACCUGUCAAGGCAUAACACAGGUGUCCUAGGUGAGCUCAGGGAGGAUGGAAACCUGCCGUGGAGCAGAAGGGCAAAAGUUCUCUUGAUGUUAAUUUUCAGCAUGAAUACACACCUUGAAAGCGGGGCCUCACGAUCCUUCUGCCUUUUGGGGUUUUACGCAGGAGGCAUCAUAAGAGUCACAACAGGGAUAACUGGCUUGUGGCAGCUAAGUGUUCAUAGAGAUGUCACUUCUUGAUCCUUCGAUGUCGGCUCUUCCUAUCAUUGUGAAGCAGAAUUCAGCAAGCUUUGGGUUGUUCACCUGCUUCAGGUUGGACAAAGGCUUGGGUGGCAUGGUUCAAU
rnacentral:ncRNA from 1 species